rnacentral:rRNA from 1 species
AGCAAAAUGCGAUAAGUGGUGUGAAUUGCAGAAUCCCGUGAACCAUCGAGUCUUUGAACGCAAGUUGCGCCCGAUGCCAUCAGGCUAAGGGCACGCCUGCCUGGGCGUCGUGUGCUGCGUCUCUCCUGUCAAUGCUUUCAUGUCAUAUAGAUAGGUUUGCAUUGCGU